ensembl:lncRNA
AUAGUAUCUAAGUUCAUUUCUUACAAGUUCAGAAUUAUCUGCUGAAUAGCAUGUGAGUGGAAGGCAGGACACUGCAGGAUGAUAAACAGACAUGAUCUGCAAUUACUCACCAGAACCACAUUCUCCCACUGGAAGUCACUGAAACAUGCUGUGGAGAGCCUUGAAGCUGUCAAAAGCCUUGGGAAAUGGACUUGUCUGAACAAACAAUGGAUUGGUCUUCAAAAGCAAUUACCAGGUAAAAGAUGUCACAAACAAAUGCUCCAAAAGGGCUCUUCACAACCCACAGGAUCCCUCCAGGAACACCCACAACGUGGUGAGCAGCUGGGCUACCACAGGCAGCAUGCAAACCGGCAGGAAGCAACAAUAGCUCUGAAGCCAAGGAGAAAAGAAAAGCUACAGAACCCAGAUCUGUUUUUUCUUCAAAAUUUCAUAGUCAUUGUAUUUUCAAUCUACAGAGAGUACAAAUUUGUGGUCUAAUGGUCCUGAAUGAGCACAUAUAGCAAGCUGGACACCUGUAGAGGAAUUGCCACUGUCUGAUUCCAAAAAAUGGUGUUGUCUGUCCUCACUCUGACCUUACACCAUGGCAGGAAAUAUUUCCCAGCUCCUGAAGAAACUCAGAGCUCUAGAAAACUGCCCUGAGAGCAGCUGCAAACCAAUAUGGUAAUUUCCAGAACAGAAAAGAACCUUUUCUGUCAGUUUCACCCAAGCCUACACUAGACUCAAGGCACUCUUCAAAAGAGCAGAAUGCAGACUCCAGAAAAACUAAAGGUUAUAUUUCUUACUGGAGGGAAAACAAAGAGAAUAUCAUAAAAGCACAUGAAGAGGAAGACUUUGUACAUACACAUACAUAUGCAUAUAUAUAAAUGUGUUUGUACAUACAUAGACGCAACUCAAACAUCUUUUGAAACAUCCUAAGGCACAUUUUAAGUAUUUGUAAGUAUCCGUAUAAGUAUUUUCAUUAAUAGCUGACUGGACUCCUCAGUUUUGCUAAAGCAGAUAUGUGCAGUGUUUCAGGACAUGCCAGAUACACAACUCAGAUCAUAAAAUUGUUCAAAGGUACUUUUUUACAGCAGAUAUUGUUCAGUCCCAGACCCAUUUUAUACAGAUUUUUUCAUCCUUACAUUUAAAAUAUCUUCUCCUAUUUGCAAUUUGACUAUCUUAAGGUUCUUGGACUGUCUCCCUGUCUGCACCUGUGUCUGAAAGGAAGUACAGGAGAGGUAACAGAGGUUCUUCUUUCAAACGUAGUCCAGAUUUUUCAAAAUAUAUCAUUCCUGAGUGGCUGAUGGGAUUAUGCAAUAACUAGAAAACCUGAUUCUGGAAGUUUCUGAUCUCUUCCAAACAAUCUCUAUGCAUAUAUUCAGAACCAAAUCAGAAAUCAAUGGAC